rnacentral:tRNA from 2 species
GGUGGGGUGGCCGAGAGGCGAGGCGACGGACUGCAAAUCCGUUUACAGAGGUUCGAAUCCUCUCCCCACCUCCA